rnacentral:rRNA from 1 species
GAUGAACGCUAGCGGCAGGCUUAACACAUGCAAGUCGAGGGGCAGCAGGGUAGCAAUACCGCUGGCGACCGGCAAACGGGUGCGGAACACGUACAGAAUCUACCUUUAUCUGGGGCAUAGCCCGAAGAAAUUCGGAUUAACACCCCAUAAGAUAUCAGAGUGGCAUCACUUAGAUAUUAAAUCUCCGGAGGAUAGAGAUGACUGUGCGUCCCAUUAGCUAGUUGGUAGGGUAACGGCCUACCAAGGCGACGAUGGGUAGCUGGUGUGAGAGCACGACCAGCCACACGGGCACUGAGACACGGGCCCGACUCCUACGGGAGGCAGCAGUGAGGAAUAUUGGGCAAUGGACGCAAGUCUGACCCAGCCAUGCCGCGUGAAGGAUGAAGGCGUUCU